GAUGAACGCUGGCGGCGUGCCUAAUACAUGCAAGUCGAGCGAACAGACGAGGAGCUUGCUCCUUUGACGUUAGCGGCGGACGGGUGAGUAACACGUGGAUAACCUACCUAUAAGACUGGGAUAACUUCGGGAAACCGGAGCUAAUACCGGAUAAUAUUUUGAACCGCAUGGUUCGAUAGUGAAAGACGGCUUUGCUGUCACUUAUAGAUGGAUCUGCGCCGCAUUAGCUAGUUGGUAAGGUAACGGCUUACCAAGGCGACGAUGCGUAGCCGACCUGAGAGGGUGAUCGGCCACACUGGAACUGAGACACGGUCCAGACUCCUACGGGAGGCAGCAGUAGGGAAUCUUCCGCAAUGGGCGAAAGCCUGACGGAGCAACGCCGCGUGAGUGAUGAAGGUCUUCGGAUCGUAAAACUCUGUUAUUAGGGAAGAACAAAUGUGUAAGUAACUGUGCACGUCUUGACGGUACCUAAUCAGAAAGCCACGGCUAACUACGUG
rnacentral:rRNA from 1 species